rnacentral:rRNA from 1 species
CGUAACAAGGUUUCGGUAGGUGAACCUGCGGAAGGAUCAUUACCGAGUGCGGGCCCCUCGGGGCCCAACCUCCCACCCGUGUUGCCCGAACCUAUGUUGCCUCGGCGGGCCCCGCGCCCGCCGACGGCCCCCCUGAACGCUGUCUGAAGUUGCAGUCUGAGACCUAUAACGAAAUUAGUUAAAACUUUCAACAACGGAUCUCUUGGUUCCGGCAUCGAUGAAGAACGCAGCGAAAUGCGAUAACUAAUGUGAAUUGCAGAAUUCAGUGAAUCAUCGAGUCUUUGAACGCACAUUGCGCCCUCUGGUAUUCCGGAGGGCAUGCCUGUCCGAGCGUCAUUGCUGCCCUCAAGCCCGGCUUGUGUGUUGGGCCCCGUCCCCCCCGCCGGGGGGACGGGCCCGAAAGGCAGCGGCGGCACCGCGUCCGGUCCUCGAGCGUAUGGGGCUUCGUCACCCGCUCUAGUAGGCCCGGCCGGCGCCAGCCGACCCCCAACCUUUAAUUAUCUCAGGUUGACCUCGGAUCAGGUAGGGAUACCCGCUGAACUUAAGCAUAUCAA